AUUGCGUCAAUAAGCGGUGCAGCUUGGCUGGGUCAUGUUUUGGAGGACGCACGGCUCUCGAACUUCGCCUCUCCCGAGUCCGUACGGGAGUUGCAGCGAUGGGACGAGACUAUAACGUACAUUUCUGUCUUAACUACUAGCUUCGUAACAUAAUGGUCCGUUUAAUCAUAAUCGGAAUAAUGCAUUGGUCAUUCACAGAAAAUGUCAAACGGAAAGGGGGGUUCAACCGAUGUCUUGGCUAAAUUCCCAACCUGGCCACAUUCCAUCAUGGCCAACUAAUCAUCUCCCUCAUUCCUAAUUGGCAUAUAUCACUCCUCACCUCUCCACCUGAUAGCUGACGUGGGGUGAGCGUUCUGGCAAAAAAAAUGGUCGCCGUGCAUCACUGAGGUGGGCGCUACACAUUGAUGGUGGAUAAGAUUAAAAUGAAACAACAGAAAGCCCAUCACUGCCUGCACACCCCAGCUUGCCGUCACAGCUAAAUAACCUCUUAAAACUAAUGAAGAUGCGCAGAGAGAAUGGAUGGAGAGAAGCAGCUGAGUAGGUUCAUGGCCAGCACAGGACCACCACUUCUGGCUUCUUCAACUACAGGAUCGUCUGAGACCAGCCACCCAGACAGCUGAUGAAACUGUCUGUAAUAAAGCCCUUUUGUGAGGGAAAAACUCAUUCUGAUUGGCUGGGCCUGGCUCUCCAGUGGGUGGGCCUAUGCCCUCCAAUGCCCAUCCAUGGCUGAAUCCCUGUCCAGUCAUGUGAAAUCCAUAGAUUAGGGCCAAAUGCAUUUAUUUCAAUUGACUGAUUUCCUUAAAUGAACUGUAACUCAGUAAAAUCGUUGACAUUGUUGCAUGUUGGGUUUAUAUUAUUGUUCAGUAUUUAUUUUCACUUAUUUACCCAGUAGGCUAGCACAAUUUUGGUUUCAUGUAUAGGUAUGAAAAUAAACACAACUGAACAAUUAGCUAUUUAGAGCAUUUCCCCAAAAGGCAUGUCCUGUUUUUGCCUUCAUAGAUGAUAACAUUUGUAGGUUAAAACAAAUGUGCAUUGUCAUGCAGUGACAGAACAGACCUAAUUGAUACUGCAAGUCAUUAAUGAUGACUUAGUUGGACUAACCUUUUUGAAUUUGCUGUUGGCCUUAUUCAUCUGCCUGUAUUCCUAAUCCCUACCUGCCCCUGGUCCUAUGAAUUUCCACCUCUCACUGUAUCAUUCUUGCUUGUCCAUCUUCCUCAAUUAAAAUGAGUUAUUCUUACAGAUCAA